ACUUUCAAAGGAUAAUAGCAAUCCAAUGGUCUUAGGAACCAGUAAUCUUGGUGCAAAUCCAAGUGAAAGUA
rnacentral:tRNA from 1 species